GCCCUUAUAGCACAGUGGUAGUGCGUCGCACUUGUAAAAUACCUACUUGAACAUUACGUAAUUACAUGCGAAGGUCGGUUGUUCAAUCCAGCCUGGGGGCA
rnacentral:tRNA from 1 species